UUCCGGUUGAUCCCGCCGGACCUGACUGCUAUCGGAUUGAUACUAAGCCAUGCGAGCCUUUGUAGUAAUACAAGGCAGACGGCUCAGUAACACGUAGUCAACCUACCCUAUGGACGAGAAUAAUCUCGGGAAACUGAGCAUAAUUCUUGAUAGAUCAUAAUGCCUGGAAUGGUUUAUGGUUAAAAUGAUUCGUCGCCAUAGGAUGGGACUGCGGCCUAUCAGCUUGUUGGUGAGGUAAUGGCCCACCAAGGCGAUUACAGGUACGGGCUCUGAGAGGAGAAGCCCGGAGAUGGGUACUGAGACACGGACCCAGGCCCUAUGGGGCGCAGCAGGCGAGAAAACUUUGCAAUGUGCGAAAGCACGACAAGGUUAAUCCGAGUGAUUUCUGCUAAAGAAAUCUUUUGCCAGUCGUAAAACCGCUGGUGAAUAAGGGGUGGGCAAGUUCUGGUGCCAGCAGCCGCGGUAAU
rnacentral:rRNA from 1 species